UUUAACUUGGUGGACAACGCAGUGGGGUUCGUACCUGAUGAUGUGCAACCUGCCGCAUUACGCCAGUCUCGAAAUCUGAACUCCGCUCUCUCUGUCCUGGAAGGAGGAAUUAAUCAGAUGCAGAAGGCUGGACGGUGGACUGGAGGCAAAGAAUCACUACAGGAUGAGACCCCAGAAAAUAUGGUGGAAGAUGUGAAGACCAUUUUGUGGAAGCUGGCAGCAGCGGACAAACUGCGGAGCCAGGCCUUUGUCAAAGCAGAGCAGUCUCCGCAGAAGCCAAGCAAGAGAGCUUGUUUCUGGAAGUAUUGUGUCACCAACUGAGCUCAAG